CAGUAGCCGCGGUAAUACGGAGGGGGCUAGCGUUGUUCGGAAUUACUGGGCGUAAAGCGCACGUAGGCGGCUUGGUAAGUUAGAGGUGAAAGCCUGGAGCUCAACUCCAGAAUUGCCUUUAAGACUGCCGAGCUAGCAGGUGAGAGAGGUAAGUGGAAUUCCGAGUGUAGAGGUGAAAUUCGUAGAUAUUCGGAAGAACACCAGUGGCGAAGGCGGCUUACUGGCUCAUACUGGACGCUGAGGUGCGAAAGCGUGGGGAGCAAACAGGAUUAGAUACCCCGGUAGUCCCUGUCUCUUAUCA
rnacentral:rRNA from 1 species